rnacentral:miRNA from 1 species
GAAGGGUGUGUACGUGUGUGUGUGUGUGUGUGUGUGUGUAUAGAUAUAUAUAUAUACACACACACACACACACACACACACACACACACACAUA